UACAGAGACUGCAAGCGUUAUUCGGAUUCACUGGGCGUAAAGGGUGCGCAGGCGGCCGUGUGUGUGAGGCGUGAAAGCCCGGAGCUCAACUCCGGAAUUGCACCUCAAACUACACGGCUAGAGCAUUGGAGAGGGUAGCGGAAUUCACGGUGUAGCAGUGAAAUGCGUAGAUAUGUGGAGGAAUACCGAUGGCGAAGGCAGCCCCCUGGGAUAACACUGACGCUCAUGCACGAAAGCGUGGGGAGCAAACAGG
rnacentral:rRNA from 1 species